rnacentral:rRNA from 1 species
GUACACUCCUACGGGAGGCAGCAGUGGGGAAUUUUGGACAAUGGGCGCAAGCCUGAUCCAGCCAUGCCGCGUGCGGGAAGAAGGCCUUCGGGUUGUAAACCGCUUUUGUCAGGGAAGAAAAGGUUCUGGCUAAUACCUGGGACUCAUGACGGUACCUGAAGAAUAAGCACCGGCUAACUACGUGCCAGCAGCCGCGGUAAUACGUAGGGUGCAAGCGUUAAUCGGAAUUACUGGGCGUAAAGCGUGCGCAGGCGGUUAUGCAAGACAGAGGUGAAAUCCCCGGGCUCAACCUGGGAACUGCCUUUGUGACUGCAUGGCUAGAGUACGGUAGAGGGUGAUGGAAUUCCGCGUGUAGCAGUGAAAUGCGUAGAUAUGCGGAGGAACACCGAUGGCGAAGGCAAUCCCCUGGACCUGUACUGACGCUCAUGCACGAAAGCGUGGGGAGCAAACAGGAUUAGAUACCCGGGUAGUCCC